rnacentral:rRNA from 1 species
GAGGAAUAUUGGUCAAUGGGCGAGAGCCUGAACCAGCCAAGUAGCGUGCAGGAUGACGGCCCUCCGGGUUGUAAACUGCUUUUAGUUGGGAAUAAAAAAAGGGACUUGUCCCUUCUUGUAUGUACCUUCAGAAAAAGGACCGGCUAAUUCCGUGCCAGCAGCCGCGGUAAUACGGAAGGUCCAGGCGUUAUCCGGAUUUAUUGGGUUUAAAGGGAGCGUAGGCGGAUUGUUAAGUCAGCGGUUAAAGGGUGUGGCUCAACCAUGCAUUGCCGUUGAAACUGGCGAUCUUGAGUGCAGACAGGGAUGCCGGAAUUCGUGGUGUAGCGGUGAAAUGCUUAGAUAUCACGAAGAACUCCGAUCGCGAAGGCAGGUGUCUGGGCUGCAACUGACGCUGAGGCUCGAAAGUGUGGGUAUCAAACAGGAUUAGAUACCCUGGUAGUCCACACAGUAAACGAUGUAUACUCGCGGUUUGCGAUAGACAGUAAGCCGCCAAGCGAAAGCAUUAAGUAUACCACCUGGGGAGUACGCCGGCAACGGUG